rnacentral:miRNA from 1 species
AUCUGAGACUUGGGAAGAGCAU